AAAAAAACCUUAUGCAAAUAUACUGAUGGUCUCCAAAAGAAGUCUCGAUAAUCUUAUAUUUCGAUUAUCAAUUUUAGAUAAUCAAUUCAUGAAAAAAUAAAAAAAUGGUAUUUUUAUUUAGUUGAUGUAAAAAUAUUUCAUCACCGCCAUUAUGACCGCUUUCUUAAAAUCACUUUAGAAAAGUUUAGAUGCUAUUUUUUUCUGCCUGAUGCCGUACUAAAGUUCUAAAAUAAAAAAUAACACUAUUAUUUUCGUGAUUUGAUUAUUCGAAGUCAAAUUUUUGCAAGGUCCGCGGGCAAUCGAAGCUGGGCUGAACUUUAUUUGACCUAGGUGCUCUUUUAGACGCUUGUUGUUCUUUCUUCUUUGAAAGAUAGCCCAACGUCUCAGUGUAGGAUAAAUUUAGCACCAAAGUGAAUUGUAAAUGUAAACGAGGCGAAUAAAAUGUCACUGAGUAGAACGAUGUUCAAAUAUGCAGCUCAACUGUUAAAUAAUGGACGCAAAAAUUACAUAGUAUGAUCAAUGUAUACUAGAUUCUCUAUCUAACAUUCUACUUCUGGGAAAAUGAAAGAGAACUCACAAUCAUCGGUUUGAGAUUUUUUUUCAAAAGCACAUAAUAAAAAAAAAUUUGGGAAAAAUUUCGGGGGGGGGCUGCAGCCCGGUAGCCCCCCCCUGGCUACGGGGUCUGAACCUGAACAUCUUAUGAACAUCUUCAUGGAAUACAACUCAACAAUUGGAAUUUCACCUAAGCAAACCCUCACCGACCUGGAAACCUACAGGAAAUAUGUAACAACUAGAAGACUUCAAUACCUGCAGCAUUCGCGCGAAGCCGCCAACAAAUUUUACCUGCCGACUACAUCGUCGAAUUUUUACAAGCAUUGACGCCUUCUAACACGGAAGAAGAAAUGACACCCUCGCAAGAGGCACACUCAAUUCUGCCAACGAAGAAUAUAAUAGUGUAGCGACCCUCAGUUAAUCAGAAUAUAAAUUUAGAUUUUUAGUUCGACCAACAGGGAAGAAUUUGUCAGAAGUACAUUAGUCUUUACAAUCAGACGAAGUGCAACAUCUUCAGAUGCACUCAUUAACACAUGUUGACACGAGUCAAGUGUUAUAUUUCUAGGAGCACGUAGGUUAAGACAUAAAUAUACACAGUAGGAGGAUGGAAGGAAAAGCACAAAGCGAAAACAGAAGGGUCAUGAACUCUGCCAGGAUCCCUGCUGAGAAUUUUCGAGCAGAAAGAUUUCAAGAUCAACGCGGUGUAGUCAAAACGCACGUGGCUGAGCUACUCCCGUAGAGAAGAAUAUUGCGCAUGCGUCUUGACUAAAAACGCUUCGGAGUAUAAAAGCCUAAGUUAGAUUUAGAAUCAGGGGAGUUGAAAUUAGGAAAGAGUUAAGAGUGGGAGUUGAGAGUUGCAGUUGGGAGUUGGAGUUGAUUAUUCGGUGUAAGUGCUACGAUGCACAGAUUCAACCAAAAUGCCACGGGGCAUAGUGAAAAAUGUUAAAAUAAGAUUAAGAAAAAUCUAAGAAUACAUAUUUUGGAGUUAAAGUGAAAA
rnacentral:lncRNA from 1 species